UUGCCUUAAUUCUUCAAGGUUGACUAGUGAUAUGAUGGGGGAUAAGAUUUAUCCUCGAGAGGGAAACAACCUAAAUCACCGGCGAAGGCUCUAAAUGACCACUAAGUGGUAAAAGAGGAAGGGGUACAUAGACAAUCAAAAAGUUUACCUAGAAGCAGCCAGCCUUGAAAGAGUGCAUAAUAGCUCCCUAAUCGAGCGUUCUUGAACCAAAGAUAAAUCGGACUAAACGAUCUCCUAGGAAGUAUUCCCAAGUCUUUUGUUUGGAAUUGGCAA
rnacentral:ncRNA from 1 species